GUUUAUACUUUGAUUUUAUUUCACUUGAUUGCAGAAUUCUGGAAAAUCAUCGGUUUUGGAGAGCAUCGUUGGGUGGGAUUUUCUUCCUAGCGGAUCUGCUGCACGAGACGGACAAAGGACAGACGGAGCAUGUUGAGUUUCUUCACUUGCCAAAGAGGAGAUUUUCAGGUUUCAGUAAAUGUUGUUUUUCAAUUGUUUCGUAAAUUCAAUGUUUGAUUUAUGGGUCUCUUUUGCCCCGGCAUCUCCCCUACAUUGUCGCUGCUUCUUGAUUUUAUUUUAAUCCUGAAUUCUCUCAAUUCUGACUCAACAAGCACACACAUACAACAACAAACAUUGCAAGUAGGCAGAGGAAUUGCAGAGGCAAAAUAAUUACUCUCUACUGCCAUUGAUCCGGAUCGUUUUUUAUGAAAUAAGGGAACUUCGAAGAACGUAUUGGAAAUUGGAUAUCCAAGAGAUGACACUGGAUAUGAAAAUUCACCUCAAUCAGAGUAUAUUGACCUCCCCCAAUACAGGCGAGCAACACAUGUGUUCGCAGAAACCAUUACUCACCAACAGCUUUGAUUCUGUUCACUCGUCUUUACUUCCUAGCUUUGCCACACUACUGACAAGUUGUUCAAAGAAAAUUUGAAAGGUAUGAUAUGCAAACAAGAAGUGUUGUAGUCCUGGCAUAUUGCUGUGUAGAUUUUCUUUUGUACACUGUUCAAAAAACUUGUGGCCUGACUGAAAGCUUGGCAGAGUUGACCUGUUCAAAAAGCUGGCAAAACAUUCCAAGUUGAUGAUUUGGAGUAUUAGUAGUUUCAACCCAGCAAAUUUCUGGCUAGUUGAAACUAAAGUGAAACUUUCAGUUUCUUAUGGGAAUUGCCGGCAUUUUGUUUGGUAUCAUCUUUUUGUUGAUUCCGUUAACUCUUUUACUGCUUCCAACGCAAGGAAAACCCAAUUGAAAUUGGUGAACUUUUGGCUUGUAUUAUUGGUUUCUUCUGGCUUGUAAUGGAAAGGUCCCCUUCAUGGUUACACUUGUAAUCUGUUUUCUCUUUCUGUACCAAUUUCUUCUGACCGAGGUUUACGAAUGUUGCAGAGGCAUCCGAACCAAUGGAAACAGAUUUCAUGUCCCAAAUCAUGGUAUUGUUUUUUCUCUUGACCAUUCAAUUUCUUUGAUAUAUGGACCGCAAAGAUGAUAAGCCCAACCGUGCCAUCUAUGUUCAACAAGCUAAUGCAUGAAGUGGCUUGAUGAGAG